rnacentral:lncRNA from 1 species
GGAAGACAAGCAUGUAUUUUUGCAAUCAUUUUCUUACUUCUUCUUUUUCUUAUUAUCAUAUAUUUUUUUUUCUUUUCUUUUUGUAUUUCCACACUUUGUUGGUCAUUCCAAACUCUGGGAAGUUUAAAGUCUAACAGUUUUCGUAUUGUUCUUUCACCUGGUGCUGUGAAUACUCACAAGCCUCAGUCUCUUGAGGAUUUCACACUGAGAUUGGAUUGUUUUUCAACAAAAUUUUCAUGCUGCUUCCAUGUCACCUUGGCUUACUGUCCCCCCGGGAAUCCACAUGGAAGAGAGAUUUCCCUAACGUCUUGGCAGUAGGGAAAUUUUUAUUUGAUGUUCAUGACUUACUAGAUACGAGAAAAUUCACUCUGAAAUCAAUGAGGGGCAUGUGUUCUGUGACCUGUUGGAGUGUGGAUGGGGGCUGAUUACCGUCCUGUGAUUAGGGCAUUUGUGAAGACCUCUGUGUGAAUCCGAUGGUGGCCAAUAAGGAUUGCAGCACAUGAUAUUGCCAAGGUUCAUAGUCUAUCUUGUUAGCUCAAUAAGUACUGUUAGAAAAAGGGAAAAAAAGAAAAGAAAAAGCAAACAAACAAACAAAAAAACACCACAAAAGUAUAGCUUUAAAAUAUGUGUAUACUCUUUAAGUUGAAUACAGAAGCAGUUAAAUUCAAUAUAGGUGAUAACUAGUUAAUUAAUUAUUAGCUACAGUGAUUAUAGUCCAUUUAAUACUUGGAAGAAAAUCCUGUCUGUGGAAAGCAAUGAGAGGAGGAAGAAAAAGGAUAAUACAGACUAUCAAUAAAAGUCAAUAAAAUCAGGAACUGUGUGGGAAAAGAGCAAAGCUUAUCAUGAUUUGAACAAUGAAAACCUACAGAGAAAGCUGCAAGAAAAAUCAGUUUAAGUCCCAGAAGUCAGAACAGACUACAACACAUUGAAAAAGAAAGAAAAAAAGAAGAGGAUAAAUAGAUCCUAGCUUUGUGUACACCAUCUGCUUAAAAUUCCUGCUUUCCAGAUGUUAUUCUCUAAAGUCCAGCCAGCCCUUGUCUCUCUCUGUCAUGCUACACAGAAGAAGAAAGGCAGCACAAGAAAGGAAGAAAUGUGGUACACAAAUAUGACACAUUUAAAAAUGCACAUUCAUCCUCCUGUGUUUGUUCAAAAAUAAAUCCAUGAAAAUGUUCACAUUUCCUUUAUCUGCCUGAUAAAAUAGUGAUAUUUUAAUCAACCUCAAAAUACACUGUUAAGAAAGUACAGUUUUAUAUUUCUUUUCAAGCUCACUCCUCUUACAGAACAACUUGAAUCAAACCACUUGUCUUGAUGCCAGGUAGUUAAAGCUGUAAUAUUGGCCGAGAAAAAGAGUGUCUAAGGACAAGAUUUGAGAACAUAGCAGAUCUUGUGAGAUCCUGGACAAAUGUGUUAUCCACAUCUAACUCCAUCUUUCCAUUUGUAAUAUCAAGAUAAAGUACCACUGCCUGCACUGUUCUCUGCUUUGUAGAUUGAUUUUUAGAAGAAAAAAAUAAAGGUGACUC